rnacentral:rRNA from 1 species
AUUGAACGCUGGCGGCAGGCCUAACACAUGCAAGUCGAGCGGUAGCACAGGGAGCUUGCUCCUGGGUGACGAGCGGCGGACGGGUGAGUAAUGUCUGGGAAACUGCCUGGUGGAGGGGGAUAACUACUGGAAACGGUAGCUAAUACCGCAUAACGUCGCAAGACCAAAGAGGGGGACCUUCGGGCCUCUUGCCAUCAGAUGUGCCCAGAUGGGAUUAGCUAGUAGGUGGGGUAACGGCUCACCUAGGCGACGAUCCCUAGCUGGUCUGAGAGGAGGACCAGCCACACUGGAACUGAGACACGGUCCAGACCCCUACGGGAGGCAGCAGUGGGGAAUAUUGCACAAUGGGCGCAAGCCGGAUGCAGCCAUGCCGCGUGUAUGAAGAAGGCCUUCGGGUUGUAAAGUACUUUCAGCGGGGAGGAAGGUGUUGAGGUUAAUAACCUCAGCAAUUGACGUUACCCGCAGAAGAAGCACCGGCUAACUCCGUGCCAGCCGCCGCCGUAACAC